AUUGAACGCUGGCGGCAGGCCUAACACAUGCAAGUCGAACGCGUGGCGGACGGGUGAGUAAUGUCUGGGAAACUGCCUGAUGGAGGGGGAUAACUACUGGAAACGGUAGCUCAUACCGCAUACCAUCAGAUGUGCCCAGAUGGGAUUAGAUAGUAGGUGGGGUAACGGCUCACCUAGGCGACGAUCCCUAGAUGGUCUGAGAGGAUGACCAGCCACACUGGGACUGAGACACGGCCCAGACUCCUACGGGAGGCAGCAGUGGGGAAUUUUGGACAAUGGGCGCAAGCCUGAUCCAGCCAUGCCGCGUGUCUGAAGAAGGCCUUCGGGUUGUAAAGGACUUUUGUCAGGGAAGUGGUACCUGAAGAAUAAGCACCGGCUAACUACGUGCCAGCAGCCGCGGUAAUUC
rnacentral:rRNA from 1 species